GAAAGAGACCGUGGCGAGGCGCUAGCCUAGGGCUAGGCGAACUGGAUUUUCUUUCAUGGAGGAAACAUACUUCUGGGAAACCUUGGUCACGUUACGUUUGUUUAUAGCGACUGCGAAGUAGUUUGUAAACGAGGCGCAUCACGAGGGAGCGAGUUAAACUGUGUUUCUAAGACUCAGUUGAGUAUGUUAAGCUAAGCUAGCACAGAAGCUAACGCUUUUCACAUGACGUCACACAACUUCCGUUUUGGCUCGAAGCUGUGUAUCCUUAGUUCCGGUGUACAUAGUAAGUAAUGAUAAAGUUGUCUAUUUCAUAUAUAUAUAUAUAGAGAGAGAGAGAGAGAGAGAGAGAGAGAGAUGUAUAAAUCUGACAGCAUAUGUUGAUCAGACAGAUCACCGGAGCAUGGAGUUUACACAGUCUAAAACAUUUGCCUAAAAUAAGAUUUGAAGAUAUAUCACGAUUUGCAAACCAGUUCUCUCUGACAAAAAAAUCUAAAUUAGACAAAGGCUACAAAUUCUUCACCGAACAAUACCUGUUUGACUAUGAAGGUAGGUAUUUUUGUUUUGCGUAACCGUUAGCUUAGCAUUAGUGAAUUUUGUUAGCUAGCUAACUACGUGACAUAACUGUUCCUUAACCAGAACUUUUUACUGUUUUUGAACUAUAACGUUUUAGGCUCUAAUCUUGAUCAGAUUAUUAAAUUAUAGACUGGAGUUGCCACUCAUCCCAUAAAAUAGGGAUUUGUUUGUUAUAAGCAGAGAUGUCCGGUGUCGCCGCUGCUUUGUAAUGCCUUUAAUCGGACCACUUUUUCGGUAACGAAUAAUCUAACGAGUUCGUAUUUCAAAUCCAGUAAUCAGAUUAAAGUUAUUUAUCCAAAUCAUAGCACAUUAAUAUUUUCUUGUGUAUUUAUUUUUAUUCCUUCUUUGCGUCUUUGGGAGAGACUCUGUGACAGUUAGCAGUGACAGAAACAUGAACAGUGCAUGGAGAUGCGCAUUUUGUUGCUGGAAAAACAGAAAUAUCGUCAAGCCCAACUGUUAUUUGUGGCUUUUGUCUUGUUUUUUCUAAACUUAUAAAAAAUAAU